GCGGGCGUAGCUCAAUGGUAGAGCCUCAGUUUUCCAAACUGAUGGUGCGGGUUCGAUUCCCGUCGCCCGCUCCG
rnacentral:tRNA from 1 species